CUGGCACCAUUUUGGAAGCAUGUGCUGCCCUAACAAAUCAUCGUGCCAAACACCUGGGCACAUUUUGAGGAUCUGAGUUGGUUCCGUUCUUGGGUGAUUUUCGUCACAUUCCCUUGAAACCAUUAUACGCNUAUUAACAAUGUUGAACGUGCUCUUGUGCCGCAAGGCUAUUAAUAUAAUACAACUGUGUUAACAACGGAUCUCUUGGCUCUCGCAUCGAUGAAGAACGCAGCGAAAUGCGAUAAGUAAUGUGAAUUGCAGAAUUCAGUGAAUCAUCGAAUCUUUGAACGCACCUUGCGCUCCCUGGUAUUCCGGGGAGCACGCCUGUUCGAGUGUCGCGAAAUUUCUCAAGCUUGGAUGGAUUUUUUGUCCGUCCCUUAGCCUUGGUUGUUGGGCUUUGCCGUGUCCUUCAUUGGUACGGCUGGCCUUAAAAGCAUCAGCUGAUCCUCGUGUGGCACUGGUUCUACUCAGCGUGAUAACAGUCUGAUCGCUGAGGACAUCUUUUGGGAUGGCCAGCUCUCAUUUGGGUUGCUUCUAAACUUGGUUUCACAGAUUGUACAAUCUGUGUUCCACAUUUCAGCUUUGACCUCGAAUCAGGUGGGACUACCCGCUGAACUUAAGCAUAUCAAUAAGCGGAGGAAAAGAAACUAACAAGGAUUCCCCUAGUAACGGCGAGUGAAGCGGGAAGAGCUCAAAUUUAAAAUCUGUAAUCUUUGUGCCC
rnacentral:rRNA from 1 species